GAUGAACGCUGGCGGCGUGCCUAAUACAUGCAAGUCGAGCGAACAGAUGAGGAGCUUGCUCCUCUGACGUUAGCGGCGGACGGGUGAGUAACACGUGGAUAACCUACCUAUAAGACUGGGAUAACUUCGGGAAACCGGAGCUAAUACCGGAUAAUAUAUUGAACCGCAUGGUUCAAUAGUGAAAGACGGUUUUGCUGUCACUUAUAGAUGGAUCCGCGCCGCAUUAGCUAGUUGGCAAGGUAACGGCUUACCAAGGCAACGAUGCGUAGCCGACCUGAGAGGGUGAUCGGCCACACUGGAACUGAGACACGGUCCAGACUCCUACGGGAGGCAGCAGUAGGGAAUCUUCCGCAAUGGGCGAAAGCCUGACGGAGCAACGCCGCGUGAGUGAUGAAGGUCUUCGGAUCGUAAAACUCUGUUAUUAGGGAAGAACAAAUGUGUAAGUAACUAUGCACGUCUUGACGGUACCUAAUCAGAAAGACACGGCUAACUACGUG
rnacentral:rRNA from 1 species